rnacentral:rRNA from 1 species
GACGAACGCUGGCGGCGUGCUUAACACAUGCAAGUCGAACGGAAAGGCCCUGCUUUUGUGGGGUGCUCGAGUGGCGAACGGGUGAGUAACACGUGAGUAACCUGCCCUUGACUUUGGGAUAACUUCAGGAAACUGGGGCUAAUACCGGAUAGGAGCUCCUGCUGCAUGGUGGGGGCUGGAAAGUUUCGGCGGUUGGGGAUGGACUCGCGGCUUAUCAGCUUGUUGGUGGGGUAGUGGCUUACCAAGGCUUUGACGGGUAGCCGGCCUGGGAGGGUGACCGGCCCCAUUGGGCCUGAGGUACGGCCCAGACUCCUACGGGAGGCAGCAGUGGGGAAUAUUGCACAAUGGGCGGAAGCCUGAUGCAGCAACGCCGCGUGCGGGAUGACGGCCUUCGGGUUGUAAACCGCUUUCGCCUGUGACGAAGCGUGAGUGACGGUAAUGGGUAAAGAAGCACCGGCUAACUACGUG